CCUACGGGUGGCAGCAGUGAGGAAUAUUGGUCAAUGGUCGGGAGACUGAACCAGCCAAGCCGCGUGAGGGAUGAAGGUACAGAUUAUCGUAAACCUCUUUUGUCAGGGAACAACGUCGGGGACGUGUCCCCGGAUGAGUGUACCUGACGAAAAAGCAUCGGCUAACUCCGUGCCAGCAGCCGCGGUAAUACGGAAGGCCCGAGCGUUAUCCGGAUUCAUUGGGCUUAAAGGGAGCGUAGGCGGGCGUUCAAGUCAGCUGUAAAAUCGCGCGGCUCAACCGCGCCCCGCAGUUGAAACUGGAAGCCUUGAGUUCACAACAGGCAGGCGGAAGUCGUGGUGUAGCGGUGAAAUGCAUAGAUAUCACGAGGAACCCCGAUUGCGAAGGCAGCCUGCUGGGGUGCGACUGACGCUGAGGCUCGAAGGUGCGGGUAUCAAACAGGAUUAGAUACCCCAGUAGUC
rnacentral:rRNA from 1 species